rnacentral:snRNA from 1 species
GUGCUCGCUUCGGCAGCACAUAUACUAAAAUUGGAACAAUGCAGAGAAGAUUAGCAUGGCCCCUGCGCAAGAAUGACAUGCAAAUUCAUGAAGUGUUCCAUAUUUUU